rnacentral:rRNA from 1 species
CAAAUGACUCUCGGCAAUGGAUAUCUCGGCUCUUGCAUCGAUGAAGAACGUAGUGAAAUGCGAUACUUGGUGUGAAUUGCAGAAUCUCGUGAACCAUUGAGUCUUUGAACGCAAGUUGUGCCCGAGGCCUUGUGGUCGAGGGCACGCCUGCUUGGGCGUCAUGUC